rnacentral:lncRNA from 1 species
UUUUCUUUUAUUAGUAUUUUUUAUUUUUAUUUUGCUAAUAUUUUCCAUUUUUACUGUUAUAAGGCUCAUAUACUAAUAUGUUGCAGGUUGUGCAACAGGUGCAAAAUAUAAAAUAAAAACUAAAAUUAAACUAAGUUUUUUUUAUUUUCCAAAUAUUUUACCUAAAAUUACUGCUCUGAAACUAAAAUGGAUUAGCUCAUGCCCCCUUACAUAUCCAUUUAGAAAGAAGACACCCGUGCUUAAAUUAGAAAAGUGAUUAGCUCAUGCCCCUUUACGUACCUAUUUAUAAAGAAGACACCCAUUCCUAAAUUAUAAAAGUGAUUAGCUCAUGCCCCUUUACGUAUCCAUUAGAAAGAAGACACCCAUUCCUAAAUUAGAAAAGUGAUUAGCUCAUGCCCCUUUACGUAUCCAUUUAGGAC